GAUGAACGCUGGCGGCGUGCCUAAUACAUGCAAGUCGAGCGAACAGACGAGGAGCUUGCUCCUCUGACGUUAGCGGCGGACGGGUGAGUAACACGUGGAUAACCUACCUAUAAGACUGGGAUAACUUCGGGAAACCGGAGCUAAUACCGGAUAAUAUAUUGAACCGCAUGGUUCAAUAGUGAAAGACGGUUUUGCUGUCACUUAUAGAUGGUUCCGCGCCGCAUUAGCUAGUUGGUAAGGUAACGGCUUACCAAGGCAACGAUGCGUAGCCGACCUGAGAGGGUGAUCGGCCACACUGGAACGGAGACACGGUCCAGACUCCUACGGGAGGCAGCAGUAGGGAAUCUUCCGCAAUGGGCGAAAGCCUGACGGAGCAACGCCGCGUGAGUGAUGAAGGUCUUCGGAUCGUAAAACUCUGUUAUUAGGGAAGAACAAAUGUGUAAGUAACUAUGCACGUCUUGACGGUACAUAAUCAGAAAGCCACGGCUAACUACGUG
rnacentral:rRNA from 1 species